rnacentral:rRNA from 1 species
CGCAUCUGUGCAUGCAGCAUAUCAAUAAGCGGAGGAAAAGUAACCUACGCUUAGGAUGUUGACGCGCGUGUGGUGGCUAAUGACUAGGCAUAUCAAUAAGCGGAGGAAAAGAAACUAACAAGGAUUCCCUUAGUAACGGCGAGUGAAGCGGGAAGAGCUCAAAUUUGAAAUCUUCAAGGUUUUACCUUGACGAAUUGUAGUUUAAAGAAGUGUUUUCUGUUGAAGUUUUGGUAAAAGUUCUUUGGAAUAGGACAUCAUAGAGGGUGAGAAUCCCGUAUUUGACCAUUAUUUUCAGCUGUGUGAUACACUUUCAAAGAGUCGGAUUGUUUGGUAAUGCAGUCCAAAAUGGGUGGUAAAUUUCAUCUAAAGCUAAAUAUUGGCGAGAGACCGAUAGCGAACAAGUACCGUGAGGGAAAGAUGAAAAGAACUUUGAAAGGAGAGUUAAACAGUACGUGAAAUUGUCAAAAGGGAAGCGUUUGACACCAGUGUUGUUUUCUCGAAAAUCAAUUAAAAAGAGUUAGAUUUUGUUGUGUAUUGACCUUAACAGCUUGCAUUUCAAUUUUCUUGCUUUUUUUAAUGCACUUUUCGUUUAACAAGUCAACAUCAGUUUCUUUUGUUGUAAAAAGGUCAUUGGAAGGUGGCUUUCUUUUCGGAGAAAGUGUUUAUAGCCUUUGACUCCUGCAAUCGGAGAGACUGAGGUCUGCAGCGUAGAUCCUUCGGGGUUAGAUACAUUUGUGCUAAGUUAUAGCUUUUUAUAGACAACUUGUUGACUAUGAUUAGUCUUGUAGCUUACUCGCUUAUGCUAUUUUACCUACGCUUAGGAUGUUGACGCGCGUGUGUGCGUG